AACGAACGCUGGCGGCAGGCUUAACACAUGCAAGUCGAGCGCCCCGCAAGGGGAGCGGCAGACGGGUGAGUAACACGUGGGAAUCUACCCAUCCCUACGGAACAACUCCGGGAAACUGGAGCUAAUACCGAAUACGUCCGUAAGGAGAAAGAUUUAUCGCUGAAGGAUCGGCCCGCGUCUGAUCAGCUAGUUGGUGAGGUAACGGCUCACCAAGGCGACGAUCAGUAGCUGGUCUGAGAGGAUGAUCAGCAUCACUGGGACUGAGACACGGCCCAGACUCCUACGGGAGGCAGCAGUGGGGAAUAUUGGACAAUGGGCGAAAGCCUGAUCCAGCCAUGCCGCGUGAGUGAUGAAGGCCUUAGGGUUGUAAAGCUCUUUCACCGGUGAAGAUAAUGACGGUAACCGGAGAAGAAGCCCCGGCUAACUUCGUGCCAGCCGCCGCCGUAA
rnacentral:rRNA from 1 species